rnacentral:lncRNA from 1 species
AGGGAUUAUUCGGUGUAAUCAUGACCGUAAUGUUACAAAGGAUGUGAUAAAAGUCCUCUUUGGCCCGUAGUGCAUUUAUGGACAAUUGUUGGCAUGAUCAUGAGCAUUGAUGAAUACACGAAUAUCCUUGGCCCGUAGUGCAUGAAUAAUUUGUGGUCGUGAUACUAACUAAUAUCCAUAGCCGUAGUGUAGGGAUGAUGUGGAUUAUUUAUUAAGC